UAGGGGAUAUUGCUUAAUGGGCGAAAGCCUGAAGCAGCAACGCCGCGUGUGCGAUGAAGGCCUUCGGGUCGUAAAGCACUUUUUGUCGGGAAGAGGAAGGACGGUACCGGCAGAAUCAGCCUCGGCUAACUACGUGCCAGCAGCCGCGGUAAAACGUAGGAGGCGAGCGUUAUCCGGAUUUACUGGGUGUAAAGCGCGUGCAGGCGGUGGGGUAAGUUGGAUGUGAAAGCUCCCGGGCUCAACUGGGAGAGGUCGUUCAAGACUGCCCAACUAGAGCAUGGUAGGGGAAGGUGGAAUUCCGGGUGUAGUGGUGAAAUGCGUAGAUAUCCGGAGGAACACCAGUGGCGAAGGCGGCCUUCUAGACCGUGACUGACGCUCAGACGCGAAAGCUAGGGUAGCAAACGGGAUUAGAGACCCCGGUAGUCCUAGCCGUAAACGAUGUGAACUUGGCGCGUGGCGGGUAAACGUUGCGUGCCGAGCCACGCGAUAAGUUCACCACCUGGGGACUACGGCCGCAAGGUUAAACU
rnacentral:rRNA from 1 species